rnacentral:lncRNA from 1 species
UCAACAGACACAGAUGUUUCCCUUUCUUCAUAUAAUGAAGAUCAGGGAUCCAAACUUAUUUGAAGAGCCAAAGAGGCCCAUUCGUACCCAUUGGAAUGGCAGGUGUUGCAGCAAUUGUUGCAUAUGGAUUAUACAAAUUGAAGAGCAGGGGAAAUGCUAAAAUGUCCCUUCAUCCGAUCCACAUGCGUGUGGCAGCCCAAGGCUGUGUUGCAGGAGCAAUGACUGUUGUUAUGGGCUAUUCCAUGUAUCAGGAAUUCUGGGCAAAACCUAAGCCUUAA